AACACCUUUAAAUCUGGUCCAGCGAGGCCGGCAAGGUUAGACGCAUUUUUAUAAGUUGGGAUAAGAAUGCCUUUUUCCGCCUCUGUGGGAAAAGGUAUUUUUUGA
rfam:Tepidanaerobacter acetatoxydans Re1 complete genome